GACGAACGCUGGCGGCGUGCUUAACACAUGCAAGUCGAACGGAAGGGCCCUGCUUUUGUGGGGUGCUCGAGUGGCGAACGGGUGAGUAACACGUGAGUAACCUGCCCUUGACUUUGGGAUAACUUCAGGAAACUGGGGCUAAUACCGGAUAGGAGCUCCUGCUGCAUGGUGGGGGUUGGAAAGUUUCGGCGGUUGGGGAUGGACUCGCGGCUUACCAGCUUGUUGGUGGGGUAGUGGCUUACCAAGGCUUUGACGGGUAGCCGGCCUGAGAGGGUGACCGGCCACAUUGGGACUGAGAUACGGCCCAGACUCCUACGGGAGGCAGCAGUGGGGAAUAUUGCACAAUGGGCGGAAGCCUGAUGCAGCAACGCCGCGUGCGGGAUGACGGCCUUCGGGUUGUAAACCGCUUUCGCCUGUGACGAAGCGAGAGUGACGGUAAUGGGUAAAGAAGCACCGGCUAACUACGUG
rnacentral:rRNA from 1 species